rnacentral:rRNA from 1 species
ACGGAAGGCGGCAGUGGGGAAUAUUGCACAAUGGGGGAAACCCUGAUGCAGCGACGCCGCGUGAGUGAUGAAGUAUUUCGGUAUGUAAAGCUCUAUCAGCAGGGAAGAUAAUGACGGUACCUGACUAAGAAGCCCCGGCUAACUACGUGCCAGCAGCCGCGGUAAUACGUAGGGGGCAAGCGUUAUCCGGAUUUACUGGGUGUAAAGGGUGCGUAGGUGGUACGGCAAGUCAGAAGUGAAAAUCCGGGGCUCAACCCCGGAACUGCUUUUGAAACUGUCGAACUAGAGUACAGGAGAGGUAAGUGGAAUUCCUAGUGUAGCGGUGAAAUGCGUAGAUAUUAGGAGGAACACCAGUGGCGAAGGCGGCUUACUGGACUGUAACUGACACUGAGGCACGAAAGCGUGGGGAGCAAACAGGAUUAGAUACCCUGGUA